rnacentral:snoRNA from 1 species
CUUCGGUGAUGAUACGAUGACGAGUCGGAAUGGGACAGUCAGUCUCUGCGGUCACUGGGUCAGGGACACGUUCUGUGUCUCUGGGUUCAGUUCCUCAGAGCAGCGUGUCUCUUCAGUUGAAGACAUCGAGGCAUUUGUCUGAGAAGG